GCCAGCGUAGCUCAGUUGGUAGAGCAGCUGAUUCGUAAUCAGCAGGUCGGGAGUUCGAGUCUCCCCGCUGGC
rnacentral:tRNA from 1 species